GCAACUUGUUUGAGUCUGGCCACUUGCUCACCAUCUGGAACUACUUCAUAUUCUUAUUACCAAAAAAAAAAUGAAAGAAAGAAAGAAACGAAAAAGAGAAAAAGGAUGAGUAACGCUGCUGGGUUGCCUUUUCUUUUGUACGUUUUGCUGGGUGCUUAACCCACCCAGGGCUCCCUCCCACCUGGAGGCACCCUACCAGCCACAGUUUAUCUGACACUCCGUUCGACUACAGAACUACUCCCUCGAAAUAUACAGAGAACUACGCUGGAAAUUAGGAGACCUGAGCUGUAUCCCAGCUUCUGGCUCACUUCUGACACAAACCAUUCAACUUCCUUGAGCCCUGGAUUCCCGGAUUGUGAAACUAAGGAGCUGGGUGAUGUGAUUAUCUGCUGCUGUCUAUGGUCAGCUGAAAUUAGUGAGAGGUGGCUGCAUCUCUGCUUUACAUGUCUUCUCAUUCUGGUACCUAGGAUGAAAGAAUUGCCCUUACAUGAAGUGCUACAUUCUCCAGGCAAAGAUGUGAAUAUUUUGGACAUUUCAUGUAAAUGGAAUCAUACAAUAUAUAGGCUUGAGUUUGGACGGAAGUUGGUGUGGCUAUAAAAGGGCACAUGAGGAAUCCUUGUUGUGACGAAAAAGAUUGGUGAUGCUGAUUUGAACUACAAACAAAUUCUGACUAGAAUACUGGACUACAAAUCCCUUUGUGAAGGAAGGAGCCAUAUUAUUAAUUUGUCUGUUCUUCAUAUUUAACUCAUAUACAGAAGUGCUACUCAUGUAUGUCAAAUGAAAGAAGAAAAAAGAAAAGGAAGAAAGGGGGAGAGGAACCAAAAGAAAAAUUAGAAAGUGUAAAGGAUUGAGGAAAAAAGAAAAGAUUCGUAAAACUGAAGUUUUAAUUUGUAGGAUCUUGGAUUGACUUAAUUUCAAAGACUCAGCCUUCAUAGAUAUGCAAUACAAAGUUUAUGCCCAAAGUAAAAGACUGAAGAGAAUAAGUAAGUGUGGGAAAAGGCAUUCCCAGUUGACCUCCCGCUAUGUCAAUGGCAAGUUGAAGACUGUACCUCGGGGCUGGGGGAAACCAGAGUUGAAGAGAAAGCUGAAGACAGUUGAAGAGUGAGCUGCUGGAGCAGGUUAACACCUUGUAAAACAGACCUGAAUAAGAGUAUAUUCAACGUUCAAGAAGAUUCUUUGGGGGCUGGCCCCACGGCCGAGUGGUUGGAGUUCCACACGCUCAGCAGCGCCGGUUAGUGGGUUUGGAUCCUGGGU
rnacentral:lncRNA from 1 species